AUUGAACGCUGGCGGCAUGCCUUACACAUGCAAGUCGAACGGCAGCACGGGAGCAAUCCUGGUGGCGAGUGGCGAACGGGUGAGUAAUAUAUCGGAACGUGCCCAGUAGUGGGGGAUAACUGCUCGAAAGAGCAGCUAAUACCGCAUACGACCUGAGGGUGAAAGGGGGGGAUCGCAAGACCUCGCGCUAUUGGAGCGGCCGAAAUCAGAUUAGCUAGUUGGUGGGGUAAAGGCCUACCAAGGCAACGAUCUGUAGUUGGUCUGAGAGGACGACCAGCCACACUGGGACUGAGACACGGCCCAGACUCCUACGGGAGGCAGCAGUGGGGAAUUUUGGACAAUGGGCGCAAGCCUGAUCCAGCAAUGCCGCGUGCAGGAAGAAGGCCUUCGGGUUGUAAACUGCUUUUGUCAGGGAAGAAAUCCUCUAGGUUAAUACCCUUGGGGGGAUGACGGUACCUGAAGAAUAAGCACCGGCUAACUACGUGCCAGCAGCCGCCGUAAUAC
rnacentral:rRNA from 1 species